UACUUAGUUUAUAGUGUAAACAGGGAUAGAUGACUGUUGGAAAGGUAGUUCAGUAGUUAAAAUGGAUGAAUAGUUAGGAAAAGCAGUUUUCAUUAGAGAUGUAGCAGUUGAUAUCUCGUGGUAGGAUAAGGAGGAUGAGAGAGAGGAAGAAACGACCAUUACUGUGAUAGUGUGAGCCGGGAUAAGCUUGGUGCUACCUCU
rnacentral:lncRNA from 1 species